CUCUGCAGGAGGUAGCACUUGAUUGACCUUGACUGGGCUCAUAAGCUAAACAGGCUCAGUCUUGUUUGGUAUUUGGAUAGGAGAUCCCUAGAGAAGUCCAGGGCUGCAGGCU
ensembl:rRNA 5S_rRNA 5S ribosomal RNA